GCGGGGUUAAUUCAGUGGUAGAAUGUCAGCUUCCCAAGCUGAACGUCGCCGGUUCGAGCCCGGUACCCCGCUCCA
rnacentral:tRNA from 2 species